rnacentral:rRNA from 1 species
GGAAUAUUGGUCAAUGGGCGAGAGCCUGAACCAGCCAAGUAGCGUGCAGGACGACGGCCCUACGGGUUGUAAACUGCUUUUAUGCGGGGAUAAACGAGGGGACGUGUUCCCCUUUUGCAGGUACCGCAUGAAUAAGGACCGGCUAAUUCCGUGCCAGCAGCCGCGGUAAUACGGAAGGUCCGGGCGUUAUCCGGAUUUAUUGGGUUUAAAGGGAGCGCAGGCGGGGGAUUAAGCGUGACGUGAAAUGUCCGGGCUCAACCCGGUCACUGCGUCGCGAACUGGUUCCCUUGAGUACGCGGGAAGCCGGCGGAAUUCGUGGUGUAGCGGUGAAAUGCUUAGAUAUCACGAGGAACACCGAUUGCGCAGGCAGCUGGCUGCUGCGUUACUGACGCUCAUGCUCGAAGGCGCGGGUAUCGAACA